AUACUUACCUGGCAGGGGAGAUACCUUGAUCACUCAGGAGGUUUUCCCAGGACGAGGCUAUCCCAUUGCACCUCGGGUGUGCUGACGCCUGCGAUGUCCCCAAAUGCGGGAUACUCGACUGCAAAAUUUGUGGUAGUGGGGGACUGCGUUCGCGCUCUCCCCUG